GCAGCCAUGGUUUAAAGGGGAAAGGGGGCUUCCAGUCCGCUCGCGCCGAGCGGUGUCUCCAUGAACGCAUUGCGUGCAUCACUCUCCAUCCUCCAUCGCCCGGUGAAAUUUCCCGCCCUUCAUUUCCCUGGCCUCCUCCAUUUUUCUUUCGUCUCCUCCUCUGCACCAGUCGAAAAUCAGCAAAGCGACCGCCCCUUCGUCCUCGACUACCUCACUCGCACCUGCGGCCUUUCCGACGAACAGGCGGUCGCCUCCCUCAGGUACCUCUCCCACCUCCGCACCUCCCAUAAGCCCGACUCCGUCAUCCGCUUCCUCCUCCGCCUCGGCUUUUCCCGACUCCACAUCCGCGACGCCGUCAGGGGCAACCCUCGCCUCCUCGUUGCCGACGUUGAGAAGACUCUCCGGCCCAAACUAGAGCUGUUCGAGAGCUUGGGCAUCUGUGGACUGAGGCUUGGGAAGUUCAUCUCCAAGAACCCCACGGUCCUCACUGCUAGUCUUCUUAGGAGACUCGUUCCGGCCGUCGGCUUCCUCAAAAGCGUCCUUCACAAAGAUGAAGACGUUAUCAAGGCCGUGCUUCGUUGUAAAUGCAUUCUCACGAAGGAUAUCGGAGACGGUUUGGGUCCCAACAUUGCCGUUUUGAAGGAAUUUGGCGUGCCCAAUUCUCAGAUUGCCAUGCUUUUGACCCGAGAUCCUCUGCUUCUCGCCUGCAAGCACGCCUACUUCAGGACGUUCGUCCAGAAGGUAGAGAAGAUGGGGGUUUCUAGCGAUUCUGGACUUUUCGUUUAUGCGAUCUACACAGUACGGUCGAUGAGCUCCGCGACGCUUGACCGAAAAAUAGAGUUGCUGAAGGGGCUUGGCUUUUCGGCGGAGGACGUUCUGUCUAUGUUCCGGCGAGUUCCGAGCGUGUUUAGGACAUCGGAGAAGAAACUGAAGGAGGGUAUCGAGUUCUUCAUGAAGAAACUCGGGUGCGAUGUUUCUGUGCUGGUCGCGGACCCGCGGUGCUUGAUGCACAGCGUGGACGGCAGGCUGGUUCCGAGAUACAGAGUGGUGGAGAUGCUGAGGUCGAAAAUGUUGACAAGGAAGGAAAGAAAUUGUCUAUGGGUUUUCAGGAUGAGUGAAACUGAGUUCUUGAAGAAGUAUAUAUUCGCACACGACAAGCAUGCUCAGGAAUUACUGGAGCUUUACUAUGGUUGCAGAUUGUGACGGUUCUUGUUGGAUAGUGGAAGCUCUGAAGGUGGGCAGCUUCCAGAAAUUUUGCUCAUCUUUGGAGCCUAUUCUUCAUAGAGUUGUUUCUCUUGGAUACGGUAGAGAACAUAAUGUUUCCAGCCAUUUGAUGGGAUGGAUUUCUUCUCUCUGCAGUGACUACAAGAUGCCACCUAAAGCUGCAUAGUUUUGUUUUAUGCUGACAUAAUUUGGAAGCAAUUCAAACUUCUUGGAAUGAAAUACUUGUUGAUUAUGAGAAUGCUUCUGCGAUGCAGUAGGGAGUUUCCUUUUUUGUAUAUGGUGACGUCAAACCAGUCUUGAUGGAUGUAAUUAGCUGCCCAGGGUGGAGAUUCUAAAGUGAAUGCUCAUUCAGUUGUGUUUAGUAUGCUGGUCAUGGUUCUUUUCCCUACCAUGACAGUUUGUGUUCUUCUUGUUUGAGCCUUUGUUACUACCAAAUUUGUUUGAUAUGUACAUUCUGACUUUUUCUUUUUUUAGCAACUUGUUUGAUAUAUACAUUCUGACUUUUUCUUUUUUUAACAACUUGUUUGAUAUAUACAUUCUGACUUUUUCUUUUUUAGCAACUUGUUUGAUAUAUACAUACUGACUUUUUCUUUUUUUAGCAACUGUUAGACUUGAAUGGGCCGAGCUGACAUCCCGUCAGCUGAACAAGUAGAAGCUUUUCCCAGGAAACACAACUGAAGACAUGUUCAAAGAAGAUACAAACAAAAAGUCAAUGCGAUGUUUUUACCCGAAUUACUCUUCUUCUAGUUGAGAUCAUUUUCUUGGAUUUUCUUAGAUGUGUUGUAUAAUAUCUCUAUGUGAGGCCUAAAAACUGCCCUUCCCAUGAGGCCUCUGUCUCCUUUCAUUUUAUACUGUGAACACUGUGAGUUCAAACAAACAUAGUAGGUGAUGAGAUCAGAAAAAACACGGGCUGACGUUUGACUGAGUGUGCAUCAGUUUUCUGUUCUUUUCACUCAUGGGUAUGUAAAGCUUGAUUCUUGUCUUGUUCUCUACAGCCUCAAGAAAGAUUAAGGUGCAGGAUGUUUGUGCACUUUGAAGGGUCAUUUUUAAAUCCAAAGUGCUUAUAUGUUGCCAUCAUUUUGAAAGGAGUUACGUCAGAUGCAAACAGGAAUAUAUUAUAUUAUUAUUAUUAUUAUUAUUAUUAUUUGUUUUUGCAUCUCAGCCUGUCUGGACAUCCUUAAGCCCGUGUAAAGAUCAAAUAUUCCCUUAACUCUUUUCAUUAUCAAGUAACGCUCUUUUUUUUCUUCAUUUUUCACAUGGUUGGUGAGAACUCAGAAGCUUCUGAGAUGGGGUUUUGUUGUUCUUUUUUAGCUUUUGAAACAAAGAUGGAGAUGGAUUCAGGAAGGGCAUCACUUUGAUAUUGACUUAUAUUUUUUAGUUUGUGCAGUUUGGUUAUUCAUAAUUAUACAUACAAGUCAAUGCUGAAUGAUUGAGAAGUUGAGAAGCAAAUAAGAAAUAUAUUGUUGUGUGGACAUAUUAGAUAGGAGUACAUAAAGGUUUGCGUUUAUUUGCAAUAUGAUUGCAAAAGGAGGAGUACAUGCUACAGACUCAAUUUUGUGUGAAAUUCUGGAUUUAUCAUGCUUUUAUGUUAGUUAAUAAGCUGAUAAAUGUGUAUAACUUCAUUUAAUCUAGCCUUUCAGUGCUUAGGACAGUCGUUGUAAAGGUCCACAUCUGGCAUGAAUUACCACGUGAAGUCUGUAGUUCCAUCCCAUUAUAUUCUCUUCGUGCACCUUCUUCCUUCUAUUUCUUUAUGUUGUCUUCUGCAAUUUGUUGUCUAUCAUGUUUUCUGGUAAGGUAUAUACAUAGAUAGUUGGUUGCUGCAUUUAUUUGAAAACAUAUAUGGCUGCUGUAUGAAAAUUAUUUCUUUAUGAACGGAAGGAAAUAGUAUUAUAUGUUCCACUCUUUCCUAGUUGCCUUUUCCCUUGUUUUGACUGGGCAACUGCUAAACUUGGGCACCUUAGUGGUGGACAAACUGGCUUUAUUAUUGGGACAUUUCUCAUGUAGGAUUUCUUUUGUUGGAUAUUGCUUUGUGUGACUGUUUUAAGAGCUUGGUUUUUCUGCUUCAGGUUGAUGAUUUCAGGCUCGUCAUGGGAGGGCAACCGUUUGAUGGCUUAGGGAUGGAGAAGAGCAAUUCAGCUUUAUGUAGGAACAUUUUCCAACUCGUAGCAAUGCAGAGAAGGUUGCCACUUAUAUUGAUUCUUGUAUGAAGUUGUCUACUUCAAACCAUGAACCUGAUAUAUCUGAUGGCCAUUUGUAGGGGCAGGUUUCACUUGCUUUUUGUCACACAUAAGUUCCCUGCCAAUUAUAAUGUAUGUUCCAUAGCAUAAUUCUCAUAUUUUUCUGGUUGUGUUCAUUUUUUGGUGAUUAUUGUGCCUUGCCCAUUUUA